CUGCAAGAUGCCACAGACUGGGUGGCUUAAACAAUAAAAGUUUAUUUCCCCAGUUCCGGUUCAGAGAGCCUGCAAGUCCGAGGUCAAGGCGCCAACAAGGCUUGGUUGCUCUGAGGCCUCUCUCGGGGGCUUGCAAGUGGGGCCUCUUAUGUUUGACCGUCUGGGCACCAGCACACCUGGUCUCAGUGUCCAGAUCUCCCCCCCUGCUAAAGCCACCAGUCACGCUGGAUGGGUCCACAGGCCACAUUUCACCUUAACUGCCUCCAUCAAGUCUAGCUCCACACACAUGCACGUUCUGAGGUCCUGGGCGCUAGAACCACAGCGUGUGGAUUUUAGGGGUCACAACACCACCCAUAACUAGGAGACCCUGGCCUGGCCUGUGGUCUACCGAGUGAGCGGAGGCGGUCCCUUGGGGCCCCACCAGUGUUUUGCAUUUGACUCUGGGGCCUCCCCCACGGAGGAGGUGAGGGUUGGGGGCAGGGGCACCUGCGUCCUCUCUGGGCGCCCCCUUGGCUGUGGGACUGUACGAGCUGACACAUGGCAUUCAAGGACCCUAUGUGAGUGAGUGAAGAGGGCAGAAGGGGCCCAGCCCAGGGAGGCCCCAGGCAGAGGUCCCACGGCGGGGCUGGGAUUUCUGAGUCCCUGCCCACCGGCUGGUCCCUGCCACAGCUCUUCACCGUCGUUGCCGUUGCUCAGUCCCUCAGUCUUGUCCAACUCCUUGCGACCCCACAGACUGUAGCACACCAGGCUUCUCUGUCCUCCACUGUCUCCCAGAGUUUGCUCAAAUUCAUAUCCAUUGAGCUGGUGAUGCAGUCCAACCAUCUCAUCCUCUGUCGUCCCCUUCUCCUCCUGCCUUCAAUCUUUUCCAGCAUCAGGGUCUUGUCCAAUGAGUCAGUUCUUGGCAUCAGGUAGCCAAAGUACUGGAGCUUCAGCUUCAGCAUCAGUCCUUCCAAUGAAUAUUCAGAGUUGAUCUCCUGAUUACUCUUCAGGGCAGCGCUGUGAUACCACCCCCGCCCGGCACUGGCGCAAGAUUUCCAGAGAGGUUUCAUAUCCACGUUUCCAGAGUCUCAGAGCGGCAGCCGAGGGAGGGAGAGGGCAGGGCAGGCCUUGCCGGGAGAUCAGGUGCCGCGUGCCCAAGGGAGGGGCCAGAACCCACCCCCACCCUCUGCCGUGUCCUGGCUCCUGACUCCCUGCCCCAGGCUGAACGGGGGCUGGACUCCAGCAGGAGUGAGUCACAGGAAGCUGGCAGGACAAGACCAGUACGUGUGGCUCCCUGGUGCCAGGCACGGGCAGCAAGGCUGCAUGCCCGCCAUUCUGCCAUCUGAGGGAAGACAUGUGCAAGAGAAGCCAAGGAGAGCUGGGGCGGGCGGGGAGGGGCGGCGCACAGGUGGCUCAGGCCCCUGGAGCCAGAUCUGUCACUUGGGAGCCUGCUGCUCUGAGCAGCAGCUUCUUCAGUGAUGAGUCUGGGACAAACACGGGCACCCUUAUUACGUGCCCCAG
ensembl:lncRNA